AUUCACCCCAUAAAAAAUUUCUUCAUUACUACACUCUUGUAAAAAUGCUGUUUCAGGAAAUUAUUAUUUCUUAUGGAUUCAGAAAUGGGAAAAAUACAAUUGUAAUGAGAGAAACGGAGUCUUCAAUCAAAUAUUGUAAAAAUAUCAAUUUGAAUUUAAUCAUAUUUGCUGAUUGCACUGAGGAAAAAUCAAUUGACUUAAAUGAACCCAACAAUUAUGCCAGAGGAGGUACUGAAACUUGUCACCUCGUAAAUAGUGUUAAAAAUAUUGAUCUCAUUUCAUUAGAACGUCUGCUCUUCCGAAAUUCAUAAUUAUUACAUGCUCUGACAACUUCAUUUUUUCAGAAUAUGUAUGAGUAUUUUAAAUUGUUAAUUAGUCUGACUAUAUAAGAAUAUGUAUAUUCUCUUUGUUUUCAUUUGUCAAAAGUAACCUUGACAUGUUGAAUAUGUUAUUUCAUGACACACAUGCCUUUGAUGCAAUGUGUGAUAAUGAUACUAAGCAAAAUAGGUCCAUUACUAUUCAAAAUUUAGAAUGAAGAAGAUGAACACUAUGAUGCUCAAAAUGAUGAAAUUUCUUAUUAUAGGGAAAUGCAGUAUCAGGUAAUAUGAUUAGAGUAGUCAAUUUAUUAUUAUUUUUGCAAAUAACAUUGAAAAAGAGCGUUAUUUAUAAACUUAUGAAGCAGAACAAGUAUCAAUCAACCAAGAUGAAAAUUUAUAGCGACUCUUGCUGCAUAUGUUUGGGUACUUCUGAUGAUGGGGGAGAACUAGGAAUAACCAACUGUGGACAUAAAAAUUCAUUUUCAAUGCAUUAGAAAGUGGCUGAAGAGAAACAAUUCUUGUCCUGUUUGCAGAAAGAUUGUUUUGACUCCAUAGGAUACGAGCCUUUGGUUCUCAUUUAAAACAAAAAAAAUUCUCAAGCCACAUUUUCAGUUGAUUAACUUGGUGGAGACACUACAUACUUCUGUGUCUUGUUUAUUGAUGGAGUAGAAUUAUUCAAAUGAUAAAUCUAUGGAUAUAAAUUUUUUUGCUUUCAA